AGAAAAGAAAAUAGGUUGUCAGAUCUCCUUAUCUUGUCGCUGCUGCCUACCUGCGCCUGGAUCCAAAGUCCAAACCCUAGCCGCCUCUCUCUCUCUCUCCCCUCACAGGCUCAGAUCUCCUACCACCACCAUGGAAGGCUCUCUCCUCAGAUCCAUGGAAUGGCUUCACUCUUCCUUCCUUCCUUCCAACAGCCUGCGGCCGCCGGCGCACCCUUCUUCCAUGGCGAUGGCGAGAGGGAUGGGAUCUAGCCCCGCCCAGCCCCGCCGGCAGCAGCGUGCGUCCCACAACUACUCCAGAUGGGAAACAGCACGGUCCGCUCCCGGCCGGAGACUCUCGCAGCGGCCGGAGCGCCAACGUUUGCCGACCUUCAUCGCCUUUUCUCUUGGUCUGAUGGGUUGGUUUGGUUCCAUCUCUCUCUCUCUAUUUUAUGUUACACAAGUAUUACACAUGGAUGGAUAUUUCCCAUCCAUCGAGUAAAACGAAUAUCCCAGCCCUGUUAGGCCGUCUCCUGUGUAUGUAUGUGCAGAGUUUUUUUGUUUUUGAUUUGUUAUAAUCUUCUGUAUGUAUAUCACCGGAGGACAAAGUAAAAGAAAAUAAAUCCUUCUUCACAAGAAGAUUCACCCGAUCGAGUACUGUUUUCAGGCUGUUUGGAUCUUUCGGAAUUUUUCCUAAAAGGAUUUCAAACUCUUUCAAAGCAUUCUUGCAGUCUUUUGUCUUUUAUAAGAAAAAUAAUAAUAUAAAUCUCAAACCUCUUCUUUGCAAUUCCCUUAUUACUUCUUUUGGUGGUGAAACACUCUUUGCUGAGUUUUUUUCUUUUUCUUUUGCCACACCCCUUAGUACCACUUAACUUAUAUAGGUCCUAAUACAUACAUACAGAGAUAACAAUCCAAAGUAAUCCCUCCGUCCCAUAAUAUAAGACGCUUUUUGACACUACACUAGUGUUAGAAAAACAUCUUACAUUAUGGGACGGCGUAGUACAUUUUAUUUGCCUAGCUCUCUGUCGCUCAGCCUUUUUAUCUUAGCACUUACCCUCACAUUCUUUAAUGUCAUUUUUCACCAGCGCCGGGGAGGGAGUUAUUGGCUAGCAUUUGUGUUAGUGAAUGGAGGAUAGAUGCUUGCUUGAUACUACUCCCUCUGUAAAGAAAUAUAAGAUUAGUAGUGAUCUAAAUGAUCUUAUAUUUUUUUUACAUAGGGAGUACGAGUUUAGGGCCUCUUUGGCUUGGUAGUAAAAGCAGAGGAAAAUUGUUGGACUAUGAAAAUUUUCUUUGGUGCAUCUAUUUGCUUUACGAAAGAAAAAAAGGAAAAAAAAAGCAAAGAGUUUUCCUUUGGUCUAUGUCCCAAAGGCAAAAUAAAUAGAAAUUUGACAUCUACUCCCUCCGUUUGGAAUUACUUGUCGCCGAAAUGGAUGUAUCUAGACAUAUUUUAGUUCUAGAUACAUUCAUUUUCGAGGCAAGUAGAUACCGGACAGCCGAGAGUUAGUUUUUUUAGAGUAAGAACAUUGAAGUCAUACUUUUGCUUGUGAUUUGAUUUGACUUAAAAAAAUUAAUUUUGUUUUGUGUUUCUGUUUGGUUUUUGAUUUUUUAAUCAAGUUACAUAAAGUUAACAAUAUUUAUGUGUCUAACAAUCGUUCUGCAAGCAUGGUUCUAUCAGAUUGGUGCACUGUCAAAUCGUCCAUUUGCUUGUGAGGUUUAUUUACUUUUUGAAGUAUGUGCUCAUGUUUUUUGGGGAUAUGCGCACAGAUGGAGUGGUUCACAGCCUGUCCCCAUUUUCAUUUUGGUAGCAGUCGUGUCGAUGCCAAAGCUGUCCACUCGCUCUCUCUCUCUAUAUAUAUAUACACUCCCUCCGUUCGGAAUUACUUGUCUCAAAAAUUGAUGUAUCUAGUUCUAGAUACAUCCAUUUUCGCGACAAGUAAUUCCGAACGGAGGGAGUAUAUAUAAAGAUACCCAUCCAAUCCAUACAAUGUUUUUUUUGUAGUACUACUUACCUCGCUAGCAAUAGCUUUUUCUUCUGUUGUACAAUUACCAGACCGUCUCGUGUAUCCUUCUUUUGUACUCCCUCCGUCCGGAAAUACAUGUCGGAGAAAUGGAUAAAAAUGGAUGUAUCUAGAACUAAAAUCCGUCUAGAUACAUCCAUUUCUCCGACAAGUAUUUCGGGACGGAGGGAGUAGUACGCUAGUAUCGCUUCAUUAUCUGAAUUCUGAAGGUCCUUCAUUUUGGUAUUCAUUCAAUUCUUUCAUGCUUUUUGUUCAGGUAAUUAAGGACCUUGGAUUCCUUUGUUCAGGCAUCUUGGGUUUGCUAGUGCCAGGCAGAGAUGCUACAUUUGUUGUCUUGUGAUGUGAAUAAGGUGUCCACGUCCACAAGACAUCAACUCAUUGGGAUAAAGCAGCGUGAUACUGGAUUGGCUCCACCAAGCCAGUGGGAUCUCGUGCCUGAUAAACAGAUGAUGCUAGAGGAGCAACCAUUGCAGAUGCACGGAGAUAACAAGUCCAAAUACUGAUGAUGCCAAAUGCCAUAAAAAACAAAUCGCAAAGGUCUGUCAUCAUUGUACUAUCUUAGGCCAAUCACAUCUUCUGGAGGUUCGGACAAAGUUCCCCCCACUGAUAUCAAGGAAGGAAUGAUAGUUCGGCAAGUUGCCUGUUCUCUCUAGUGAGUUACAUCUUGGCUAUUGCCUACUAGCAUGAUCUACUCCCUCUGUAAAGAAAUAUAAGAGUGCUUAGAUCACUAAAGUAGUUAUCUAAACGCUCUUAUAUUUCUUUACGGAGGGAGUAGCGAUAAGCACUAUGAUAUAUAGUAAGCAACAGUUAAUUCAGGUGUUCUUGCUGCAAGGAGUCAUGUUAUGUUUAUGCUUUGUGUCCACACUUUCAGUUUGACUCAAAUAUAUUCUGGACAGUUUGAUUUUUAACAAGACCGGAUAAUGAUAAUGAUAAUAAGAUCGAAGGAUAAGCUUACAACAUGUGUAUGCAAAGAAGAGAAUUUAAAUCUCAAACUGAGCUAGCCUUGUCCACAACCCAGCUCUUGUGACUACUUUGAUUCAAUACCCUGUUGAAGACAAUUACACAAAAGCUCCAGAAAUAGAGCACAUUGAUUGUACCAUAGGUGACUUAACCCCCCAUUGAUAUCCUAGUGUGAUGCAGGACAGGAAGAAAUUCAAAUAGUAACAAGAGGCUUGGGCACAAAGAUCCAGGACGAUAUAUAUGCUCUAUGUAUGCAAAUCUACCUAGCGAGCUUGAAACGAAGAUUUUUGAGACAAAGAGAGGGAUAAAUUUAAACCCUAUAUGAUCAAGGCACAAAGAUCCAGAAGUAGAAAUGUGCCAAAGCUGGGGCGUCCCAUGGUCCCUAGCGAGCUAGGAUGCCCACGAAAUGAAUCUGAGGGUGCGAAUAGCUCAGCUCGGGCAGAUAAAAUGUUGUAAUGUCCAGACUAGAGCAGCAGCACAAGAUGAAGUGUAAUUGUAAUACGGAAUUACUUGUCACAAAAAUGGAUGUAUCUACAACUAAAAUACAUCUAGAUACAUUCAUUUCUUGACGAGUAAUUCCGAACGGGGAGGGAGUACUAGACUAGAGCAGCUCCUUGCUAUCCUGACACUCUGUUUUUAGUGGCCUUGCCCAAAACUGAAGGAAUGCUUCGAGUGUGCAAUAGGAGGAAAUGCAGCAGCAGCAAAACAAACAAAAUUGGAUUACCUCGGUCUUCACUCCAUUUUGAGGUGGUUGAUGUCUCUGGCCCUGCAGAGCAGACAUGAUGGAUUGUUUGAUUUAGUGAAGAAAUAAAUACUCUGAGAUUAGAUUAGAUUA